GAUGAACGCUGGCGGCGUGCCUAAUACAUGCAAGUCGAGCGAACAGACGAGGAGCUUGCUCCUUCGACGUUAGCGGCGGACGGGUGAGUAACACGUAGGUAACCUACCUAUAAGACUGGGAUAACUUCGGGAAAUCGGAGCUAAUACCGGAUAAUAUUUCGAACCGCAUGGUUCGAUAGUGAAAGAUGGCUUUGCUAUCACUUAUAGAUGGACCUGCGCCGUAUUAGCUAGUUGGUAAGGUAACGGCUUACCAAGGCAACGAUACGUAGCCGACCUGAGAGGGGGAUGGGCCACCCGGGAACUGGGCCACGGUCCAGACUCCUACGGGAGGCAGCAGUGGGGAAUCUUCCGCAAUGGGCGAAAGCCUGACGGAGCAACGCGGCGUGAGUGAUGAAGGUCUUCGGAUCUUAAAACUCUGUUAUUAGGAAAGAACAAACGUGUAAGUAACAGUGCACGUCUUGACGGUACCUAAUCAGAAAGCCACGGCUAACUACGUG
rnacentral:rRNA from 1 species